rnacentral:snoRNA from 1 species
UUGGCCCUGAAUCAAGGCCAGUAGUUUGCUAAAGCUGUUGGUUUCUUUUUUAUUUAUUUAUUUAUUUAUUUACUUUUUAAAAGCUGUUGGUUUCAAGCAGGAGUCUAAAGAAUUAUUUUUCUAUGGUCUGUUGGCCAUUUCAAAACUUUGGAAAUGUAAUGGUCAAUUCAUUAGAAAGAAACAUAU